rnacentral:lncRNA from 1 species
AAGUUAUGAAUUUUGGCUAAAAAAAGUUUUCAAUUUUUUUUUCAACAAGAUAAUUCAGUUUAAAAUUUUUAAAAACAAAAAAUCCGGCGGACGAAUCAGAAGUCGCCACGCGUCCUAACCCAAUCUCCACUCAGAUUCUCUCUCCUGCCGACAGCACCUCACGCGCCCUGUCUGCGCGUGUCUCCCACGCGCCUGGCGUCCACCAUUCAGAAGCUGCCACGUGGCACUGAGUACCCCUCUUAACUUUGUUGAACUCUCUUAACAUCUCACUCCUCCACCUCAUCCUCAACAAACCCUCAACAACCACUACAAACCCUUAACAACUCUCAACAUCUCUCUCAACUCACCAUUGCAUAUGGUCUAAGGAAAACCGAUUGUGCUUACAUGGCCUAAUUUUUGCUUGCUCAUUGGCCCCACAUGUAAGUUCAUUAAUCCUAGUCAUUGUAAUGGUGUGACAUGCAUUUUUAUUCCUUAUAAUAUCACAUUUGGUCAUGGAGAAGAGAUGGAGUUGUUUAAUUAGCUUGGAACCCUAGACGUGUCUAAGGGAGGAGGAGAACAUCUUUCUAGCUGGGCAAGCGAGGACGAUGAGGCAAUCAAAGGCGAAGGAGCCUUUAGAGUUGAUAUGUAGGCAUGGAGAUGAUAUGAUAUUGUUCACAUUGAAGAAUGUGAGGAAUCAAGGGAAGCGUUUUUGGAGGUUUCCCAACUAAAAAGUUAGUUUGCAAAUUUCAAAAAUUCAUUUAUGCUCUGGUAGUAUGUAUAGUGUUUGAGAUUAUUUACAUACUCAUCUUUGUCUUUGUUGCGUGUUAUUAUGAAAAGGGGAGGACCACUUAUUUUUUUGCUGGGAUGAGGAAGUGUAACGGAGCAAUCUUCAAAAGUGGAUGAUAGAGACAAGAUUGGAGAAAAGAUAGAAGAUCUGAAGGACAAGAAGAUUGCCAAGUUCAAGAGUUUUUUUUAUAGGCAAAUUUUAGUUGUUAAUUGGUAGUGUUGAGUAUGGCUCAUAGGGGCAAUGGGUUAGGUGCCCUCGGCGGUUCAGGGGUAUUAUUGUAAUCUGAAUCAUUAGUAUUCCUAUAUUGCUUGUAACACUAAAACCCUUAUUGUAUUAAGAACAAAUCAAUAAACAAAACUAUAUCUGCUCUCUAACCGCAGACGUAGGCAAUUUGGCC